rnacentral:rRNA from 1 species
GAUGAACGCUGGCGGCGUGCCUAAUACAUGCAAGUCGAGCGAACGGACGAGAAGCUUGCUUCUCUGAUGUUAGCGGCGGACGGGUGAGUAACACGUGGAUAACCUACCUAUAAGACUGGGAUAACUUCGGGAAACCGGAGCUAAUACCGGAUAAUAUUUUGAACCGCAUGGUUAAAAAUUGAAAGACGGUCUUGCUGUCACUUAUAGAUGUAUCCGCGCUGCAUUAGCUAGUUGGUAAGGUAACGGCUUACCAAGGCAACGUUGCAUAGCCGACCUGAGAGGGUGAUCGGCCACACUGGAACUGGGACACGGUCCAGACUCCUACGGGAGGAAGAAGUAGGAAAUCUUCCGCAAUGGGCGAAAGCCUGACGGAGAAACGCCGCGUGAGUGAUGAAGGUCUUCGGAUCUUAAACCUCUGUUAUAGGGGAAGACCAUAUGUGUAAGUAACUGUGCACAUCUUGACGGUACCUAAUCAGAAAGCCACGGCUAACUACGUG